UUCAUUUGGGCGAGUACACGUUCAUUUUCCUGGUCAAGCGCAGCACCAUAGCAUAACCCUAAACCCUAAUCUAAACCCACAAAGACCAAUUUGCUGUGUUUGGAAGAAAUCCACAGAAUUCAGCAGCUAUGGCUUGGCGUGGUUCCGUCACCAGAUCACUCACUUCCGUCGCUAGAGCUUCCACUUCCCGUUCAUCUCCGACUGUUAACCGCGUUCGCACUCCUCCGAUCUCCGCCCCUCGUUCCAACACGCGCCGCUUCUCAUUUACCAGUCCCAGGACAUUGGGAGCUUUGGGGUGUACUCAGUCAUUUUUGCCGCUGCAUAAUGUGGUGGCUGGAACUCGAUUGACUUCUCACUUGACAGUUAACGUGCGGGCUUGCUGCGAGCUGUAUCAUGGUACCUUCCAACGUUCUUGUCAGGAUCGCUAGUAGUUUCUUUGGAGGAAUGGAAAAGAUGGGUGAUGUCAGCAGCACUUCCAAACCUCCAGUGGGACAUUUUGCAGCAUUGUACUUGAACACAAUUAAUGGAGCAGCACAAAGUUGCUUGAGGUUUAUGGUAGUGUUGGCAGGUUGAUGCAUCUCUGACAAUCUGUUUUGGAUGCAGAAAAUAAUAACUGUUAAUCUUUGUUUUUUUCACAUUCUAAAGAUAAACUAGAAAAUCUGUUUCCGACAGUAUCAUAGAGAUUAAAUUUAUUUCAGUUAAGUGUUCAUUUA